UGUUCCUACGGGGCGCAGCAGUGGGGAAUAUUGGGCAAUGGGCGCAAGCCUGACCCAGCAACGCCGCGUGAAGGAAGAAGGCUUUCGGGUUGUAAACUUCUUUUGUCAGGGACGAAGCAAGUGACGGUACCUGACGAAUAAGCCACGGCUAACUACGUGCCAGCAGCCGCGGUAAUACGUAGGUGGCAAGCGUUAUCCGGAUUUAUUGGGUGUAAAGGGCGUGUAGGCGGGAAUGCAAGGCAGAUGUGAAAACUAUGGGCUCAACCCAUAGCCUGCAUUUGAAACUGUUGGUCUUGAGUAUCGGG
rnacentral:rRNA from 1 species